GAAGCCCGGCUAUCUACGUGCCAGCAGCCGCGGUAAUACGUAGGGUGCGAGCGUUAAUCGGAAUUACUGGGCGUAAAGCGUGCGCAGGCGGUUUUGAAAGUCAGAUGUGAAAUCCCCGGGCUCAACCUGGGAACUGCGUUUGAAACUCCAAAGCUAGAGUAUAGGAGAGGGGGGUAGAAUUCCACGUGUAGCAGUGAAAUGCGUAGAGAUGUGGAGGAAUACCAAUGGCGAAGGCAGCCCCCUGGCUUAAUACUGACGCUCAUGCACGAAAGCGUGGGGAGCAAACAGGAUUAGAUACCCUGGUAGUCCACGCCCUAAACGAUGUCUACUAGUUGUAGGGAGAGUAAAAUCUCUUAGUAACGCAGCUAACGCGUGAAG
rnacentral:rRNA from 1 species